UAAUUUUGAUUUACCCACAGUGUAUCCCAUUGCAUGUACUUUUUACUCCUUUGUCCCGAACUUGCUGAGUCUUGCUUUCAAAGUUUCUAGCUACUGAACUGCAGAGCAGAUGAAAAUCUCAUAAAUAUUCCCAUAUGGCAUAUUUGUAGAAAGAAGAUGGAUGUACAAGAUAGGGUUCCUUUUAUGUCUGUUGCCUGAGAAAAAUAGAACUAUGUUCUAUGCCCUGUGUAUUUACCUGUUGUUGAAGUAAAUAUCUCUUAUAAGGUCAAAUUUAAAGUCAAACRUUGCAGGACCCUGAACAUCACUGAAGUCGAUAACUGAUCUGGAAACAAAGGGAUCGUAA
rnacentral:lncRNA from 1 species